rnacentral:rRNA from 1 species
GCGCGUAGGCGGUUUAGCAAGUUGUAUGUGAAAGCCCUGGGCUCAACCUAGGAACUGCAUCCAAAACUACUAAGCUAGAGUACGAGAGAGGAGAGUAGAAUUUCUGGUGUAGCGGUGAAAUGCGUAGAUAUCAGAAGGAAUACCAAUGGCGAAGGCAGCUCUCUGGCUCGUCACUGACGCUGAGGUGCGAAAGCGUGGGUAGCAAACAGGAUUAGAUACCCUGGUAGUCCACGCCGUAAACGAUGACAACUAGCCGUUGGGCAGAUUUAACUGUUCAGUGGCACAGCUAACGCAUUAAGUUGUCCGCCUGGGGAGUACGGCCGCAAGGCUAAAACUCAAAUGAAUUGACGGGGGCCCGCACAAGUGGUGGAGCAUGUGGUUUAAUUCGAUGCAACGCGAAGAACCUUACCAAUCCUUGAAAUCUAGCGAAGUUCGCAGAGAUGUGAAUGUGCCUUCGGGAACGCUAUGACAGGUGUUGCAUGGCU